UACGUAGGGUGCAAGCGUUAACCGGAAUUACUGGGCGUAAAGCGUGCGCAGGCGGUUUUGUAAGUCUGACGUGAAAUCCCCGGGCUCAACCUGGGAAUUGCGUUGGAGACUGCAAGGCUAGAAUCUGGCAGAGGGGGGUAGAAUUCCACGUGUAGCAGUGAAAUGCGUAGAGAUGUGGAGGAACACCGAUGGCGAAGGCAGCCCCCUGGGUCAAGAUUGACGCUCAUGCACGAAAGCGUGGGGAGCGAACAGG
rnacentral:rRNA from 1 species